UACAGAGGCGGCAAGCGUUGUUCGGAAUUACUGGGCGUAAAGGGCGCGUAGGCGGCCAGCACAAGUCAGUUGUGAAAUCUCCGAGCUUAACUCGGAAAGGUCAACUGAUACUGUGCGACUAGAGUGCGGAAGGGGCAACUGGAAUUCUCGGUGUAGCGGUGAAAUGCGUAGAUAUCGAGAGGAACACCUGCGGCGAAGGCGGGUUGCUGGGCUGACACUGACGCUGAGGCGCGACAGCGUGGGGGAGCAAACAGG
rnacentral:rRNA from 1 species